CUACGUGCCAGCAGCCGCGGUAAUACGGAAGGUCCAGGCGUUAUCCGGAUUUAUUGGGUUUAAAGGGAGCGUAGGCUGGAGAUUAAGUGUGUUGUGAAAUGUAGACGCUCAACGUCUGAAUUGCAGCGCAUACUGGUUUCCUUGAGUACGCACAACGUUGGCGGAAUUCGUCGUGUAGCGGUGAAAUGCUUAGAUAUGACGAAGAACUCCGAUUGCGAAGGCAGCUGACGGGAGCGCAACUGACGCUUAAGCUCGAAGGUGCGGGUAUCAAACAGGAUUAGAUACCCUGGUAGUCCGCACAGUAAACGAUGGAUGCCCGCUGUUGGUACCYGGUAUCAGCGGCUAAGCGAAAGCAUUAAGCAUCCCACCUGGGGAGUACGCCGGCAACGGUGAAACUCAAAGGAAUUGACGGGGGCCCGCACAAGCGGAGGAACAUGUGGUUUAAUUCGAUGAUACGCGAGGAACCUUACCCGGGCUUGAAUUGCAGAGGAAGGAUUUAGAGAUA
rnacentral:rRNA from 1 species